UACGUAGGGUGCGAGCGUAAUCGGAAUUACUGGGCGUAAAGCGUGCGCAGGCGGUUUUGUAAGUCAGAUGUGAAAUCCCCGGGCUUAACCUGGGAACUGCGUUUGAAACUACAAGGCUAGAGUGUGGCAGAGGGGGGGUAGAAUUCCACGUGUAGCAGUGAAAUGCGUAGAGAUGUGGAGGAAUACCGAUGGCGAAGGCAGCCCCCUGGGAUAACACUGACGCUCAUGCACGAAAGCGUGGGGAGCAAACAGG
rnacentral:rRNA from 1 species